rnacentral:rRNA from 1 species
CAGUCGCCGCGGGAAUACAGAGGGUGCGAGCGUUAAUCGGAUUUACUGGGCGUAAAGCGUGCGUAGGCGGCUAAUUGAGUCGGAUGUGAAAUCCCCGAGCUUAACUUGGGAAUUGCAUUCGAUACUGGUUAGCUAGAGUGUGGGAGAGGAUGGUAGAAUUCCAGGUGUAGCGGUGAAAUGCGUAGAGAUCUGGAGGAAUACCGAUGGCGAAGGCAGCCAUCUGGCCUAAUACUGACGCUGAGGUACGAAAGCAUGGGGAGCAAACAGGAUUAGAUACCCCCGUAGUCCCUGUCUCUUAUAC